AUCCAGUUGACAAGUCCCAAAUAGGACGAAAUGCUCGUCAAACUGGAU
rnacentral:hammerhead_ribozyme from 1 species